rnacentral:rRNA from 1 species
GAACUGAGGGGGGCUGCUCCUAGUACGAGAGGACCGGAGUGGACGCAUCACUGGUGUUCGGGUUGUCAUGCCAAUGGCACUGCCCGGUAGCUAAAUGCGGAAGAGAUAAGUGCUGAAAGCAUCUAAGCACGAAACUUGCCCCGAGAUGAGUUCUCCCUGAGACUUAGAGUCUCCUGAAGGAACGUUGAAGACGACGACGUUGAUAGGCCGGGUGUGUAAGCGCAGCGAUGCGUUGAGCUAACCGGUACUAAUGAACCGUGAGGCUUAACCUUACAACGCCGAAG